rnacentral:rRNA from 1 species
AACGCGAAGAACCUUACCUGGGCUAGAAAACGCGCGAACCUGGUAGAAAUAUCGGGGUGCUCUUCGGAGAAUGCGUGGUUAGGUGCUGCAUGGCUGUCGUCAGCUCGUGUCGUGAGAUGUUGGGUUAAGUCCCGCAACGAGCGCAACCCUCAUCCCUAGUUGCCACCGGGUAAUGCCGAGCACUCUAGUGAAACCGCCCCGGAUAACGGGGAGGAAGGUGGGGAUGACGUCAAGUCCUCAUGGCCUUUAUGUCCAGGGCUACACACGUGCUACAAUGGUCGGUACAAACCGUCGCAAAGCCGCAAGGUGGAGCUAAUCGGAAAAAGCCGGCCUCAGUUCGGAUUGGAGUCUGCAACUCGACUCCAUGAAGCUGGAAUCGCUAGUAAUCGCAGAUCAGAACGCUGCGGUGAAUACGUUCCCGGGCCUUGUACACACCGCAUAC